rnacentral:lncRNA from 1 species
UGCUUGGGUUGGGCGGCGCCUAACCAAUCGCCUAUGCUUGGGUUAGGUGGCACCUAACCAAUCGCCUAUACUUACUGCCUCUCACGAAAAUGGGCAUUACUUUUCGCUCGGGUAUUGGAUUAAGGAGAAAUUGGUAUCCUUGGAAAGCUAAUUCAAUUAUCAACAAUUUGAAGGGUAGAAAUAUGCAGAAAUACCACAUUAACAUCUAGUUAUACUCAUUCA